GGAGGAGCGGGGCGGUGAGAGCCUGGCUAGGCAGGCUGGAAACAGUAGCUCUUAACGGUCCCCCGCCCGUUGGUGGCAAGGCGGCUGGACUGGAAUCCCAGCAGGCGACAUGCGAGGAGGCGGGCAGCCCAGGAGGGUUGGACACGGCAAUGUGGACCUCGCCGCUUCCACAACGAUGCUGGCUACUGAUCGCGUGCACUUCCUUGCCAAAGAAAGUUUGAGACUAUGGUUAGGUGGUGAGGAAGGCAGGCUCAGCACCCAAGCCUUGGGGAGACGCAGAAAGGGCCCAUCCCAGGCACUCAGGUGGAGUAAAACUGAUGCUCCAGAAAGAUGCCCAGGGAGAUUCUGUCCUGCUGCGUCCGCACUGUACAGAACUGACGCUGUGCCUACGCCCGUUUCAGAAGCGUGGAGUACUUAAGAGUUAAUCUAAAAAAGCAAAUAUAAAAAUGGAUUCAAAAAAA
rnacentral:lncRNA from 1 species